UCAUCGGUAAAAUAAUCGAUUGAUUGUGUACUUAUAGUGCUUAUUUUGAUAGAUUCAUGAACAGACGAAAUCGAAUCCCCGUGUUCAUAAACAUAGAGUGAAAAAAAAGGAAGGUUCUUCGGUAGUAAGCGAUUAAUAAAGUGUUCAUAGACAUGGCCAGCUUCGUGGAUGGCCACGUACACAAGGGCUUUUUGCAGUUGAAGAGGACCUGAGGGCGCUCAAUGUUCAGGGCGAUUGGAAGCGAUUGGCCCAGGAUCGAGUCCAGUGGAGAAAAAUACUUAAUUCGGCGUAGGUUCAUCGAAGACCUGUAGCCCAUCAAGUAACAAGUAAAAUCAUGAAGUUCCUGCGAUGCCACACGAUUUGAUAAACCAAUUAAUCCCCUUAUUUCGUCGGAUUCCAUUAUUUUCCACAUCGAUGAAUUUAUAGAUUUAAUCUGAUUUGCUUAAUGAUAAAAUUAAAUAAACCGAUUA